rnacentral:rRNA from 1 species
GACGAACGCUGGCGGCGUGCUUAACACAUGCAAGUCGAACGAUGAAGCUGGAGCUUGCUCCGGUGGAUUAGUGGCGAACGGGUGAGUAACACGUGAGCAAUCUGCCCUUGACUCUGGGAUAACUGCGGGAAACUGUAGCUAAUACCGGAUACGAGGCUCGAAGGCAUCUUCGGGUCUGGAAAGAAUUUCGGUCAAGGAUGAGCUCGCGGCCUAUCAGCUUGGUGGUGAGGUAAUGGCUCACCAAGGCGACGACGGGUAGCCGGCCUGAGAGGGUGACCGGCCACACUGGGACUGGGACACGGCCGAGACGCCUACGGGAGGCAGCAGUGGGGAAUAUUGCGCAAUGGGCGCAAGCCUGAUGCAGCAACGCCGCGUGAGGGAUGACGGCCUUCGGGUUGUAAACCUCUUUUAGCAGGGAAGAAGCGAAAGUGACGGUACCUGCAGAAAAAGCACCGGCUAACUACGUGCCAGCCGCCGCGGUAA